ACAUUUAUCUUUUGAGUUUUAAAUACCAGCUAGCGCCUAGUGCCCUAGUGCCUAGUGCUUAGUCGUUACAAACUAGGUGCUUGCCUAUAAUAGUAUUAUUUAUAAUUUUUAAUUUUAUAAUUUGUUAAUUAGUCUUAUGUGUGACUAGUUUUACUCACUUACAAUAAUUAAGUGUAAUUUAAUUGUUAUCUCGAUUUUUUUUAUAUAAAUACCUGUACAUUUCAAUUCAAUUUAAAUAGUCUUGUGUAGGACUCGUUGAAGUUUACAACUCAGGUUUCAAUAGUCUAAAUUAAUACUUCAUUUAACAUGGCUAAUGAAGUAUAUAUUGUAUCUGCCGUUCGUACACCAAUAGGUUCAUUUGGCGGUUCAUUGUCGUCCUUGAAAGCUCAUCAAUUAGGCUGCAUAGUGAUUACAGAAGUACUUAAAAGAGCUAAUGUCAAUUCAAAUGAAGUGUCUGAAGUUAUUCUUGGACAGGCCCUUACAGCUGGACAAGGUCAAAAUCCAGCAAGACAAGCUUCGAUAAAUGCUGGAAUUCCAAUCACUGUACCUGCUCAUGUUAUCAACAUGCUCUGUGGAUCUGGGCUGAAAGCUGUUGUUCACGGAUACCAGUCAAUCAAAUGCGGAGAUUCUUCAAUAGUCAUUGCAGGUGGCCAAGAGAGCAUGAGUAACGCUCCUCAUGUUGUAAAUUUACGAUCUGGUAUCAAAAUGGGUAACACAGAAUUGAUAGAUACGAUGCUAUACGAUGGUUUGACAGACGCAUUUAACAACAUACAUAUGGGCAUAACUGCUGAAAAUAUUGCUGAACAGUAUAAUAUUUCAAGGGAACUUCAAGACAAUUAUGCUUUUGAGUCUCAGAAACGGACAGCAGAAGCUCAAAAAAAUGGUUACUUCAAAGAUGAAAUAACACCAGUAGAGGUGAAAAUACGACGGAAUACCAUCGUAUUUGAUACAGAUGAAUAUCCAAAAAAUGAUAGUACUUUAAAUUCAUUAUCUGCAUUGAGACCAGUUUUUAAACCGAAUGGUGGUGUAGUCACAGCCGGAAAUGCAUCAGGAAUAAAUGAUGGUGCUGCAGCAGUACUUUUAAUGAAUGGAGAAGAAUGCAAAAAACGAGGUUGUACUCCAUUAGCUAAAAUCGUAGCUCAUGCUGAGUGUGGGGUCGAUCCAAAAAUAAUGGGUACUGGACCAAUACCUGCUGUGCUUAAGACGAUUGAAAAAGCUGGUUGGACAAUGGAUAGCGUGGAUAUUUUUGAAUUAAAUGAAGCAUUUGCUGCACAAUCAAUCGCUGUAGUGCGUGAUUUAGGAUUAAAUUCAGACAAAGUAAACAUUUAUGGAGGUGCAAUUGCAUUGGGUCAUCCUAUUGGAGCAUCUGGUGCUCGAGUAUUAGUUACGUUGGUGCACAUAUUGUUAAGGACCGGCAAAAAACGAGGCAUAGCAUCCUUAUGUGUUGGUGGAGGUAUGGGUAUUGCUGUUGCAGUCGAGACUUUAUAAUCAAUGAUCACUCAAUUGUUCUCUGUACAAAAGGACAUCAGACUGUAGAGUGUUACAUUAUUGAGGGAAUAUAAUAUUAUUAUAUUGUACAUCAUUUAACAAAGGAAAAUUAGUUUUGCUGAAAUCAGGGUUGCUAAUUUUUUUAAUCUUGUAUUCUAUUUGAAAUGUUUUUUUUUGUUAAUGGGUUAUGGGUUAUGACCAAGUUUUCAGUGUUUAUUCUUGUUAAUAAUUUAAAUUUAGAUUAUUGUUAAUAACAUUGAAAUAUUAGUUUAUUGAAUUUCCUUUUUAAGAAUAUUGUCCUGUAUUCAAAGUAUUGUAUUAUUUAUAUACACCAGUCCAAUUAAGAUUUUUUAAGUUGAUAAACUUAAGCAAAAAAUUGUAUACCAAUUAAUUUUAAUAUGUAUACAUUUUAGGACAAUUUAAUGCGUAAUAUUAGAGUUUUCAAUUUUCACAUAUCAUAAUGUAUUAGUGUACUUUUUUUAUAUCAAUACCAGAAACCAGUGUAAAAUUAUACUUAGAUAAUUAUCAGAAUAUUGCCCUGCUAAGCAAAUGUGCCGUAAAAACCAAUUUAUUAAUUUUGAAAAAAAGUGCAUUUUUGUAUUUUUCAUUUUAUUAUAUCUUUAUUAUUUGUUUGUUUGAUUUAGUAUAAAACAUAACCACUUUUAUAGUUUUUUUGACGAGGAAUGCAAUGAAAUAAUAAUUUAAAAGUAUUAUUUCUCAUGCUAAAUGUUGCUAAUGGGUGACUUCUUACCCCCAUAUUAUCCUGCUUGUUUACUCUCUUAGCAAAUACGCUUAUUGUGCUCUUAGUAUAGAUUGUGUAAUUCUUAUAAAAAUAAUUUAAAAAAAAAAAGUAUUAUUUGCUUAUUAUUCGAAUAAAAGUUAUUUUUAUGUUAUAACUUAGCAAUAAAGCUGUUGAUACUUUUAUUUAUUAAGGUUAAACACCAUAAGUAAAUUUUAUGUAACUUGGGUAGAAUAUGGAAAUGUUAUGCGAAAAUGCUGUAUAUAUAAACAGCAUUUAUAUAUAUUUACAGUGUUUAUGCUUAGUAAGUGUAAGAUGCGGCGUUCUUAGUUAAUACUUCUAAUUUUUUUUGUUACAUACAGUGAUUUCAAAUUUAAAUUAAUUGAUUUUACUGCCUAUUCAAUGUUAUUUCAGGGGUAUUUUAUCUACAUUUAUAGUGUAAAACUGAUAAACCCAUUAGAUGCUGUAUCUAACUCAUUUUUUUUUAUUUUUAUCGAGUUACAGCACUUUUGCUUAGCAGGGCAGAAUAAUAGUCAUACUAUAGUUCAUACCAAAUGUGCCAAAUAUUUUUGAAAAAAUUAACUUGACAUACAUUGUAAUUUGUAGUUCAUUUUUAUAGUUAAUUAUUAACUCAUACUUUUUUUUGAAGAUGAAGUAACUUGUUUAAUUGUUUCCAUAUAAAUAAUUAUCAAAUAUGUAUAGUAAGUAAUUCGGCACAGGUGUAGUUCAGUAAAAGCAUCCACAAAUUAAUAAAUAAACCAUUUAAAAUUGUAGGAAAAAUGUAUUAAUGUUUUUUCAUUAUUACUUUAAAAUUUUGUAAAAGCUAUUCGGUAUAAAUGGGAAAAAUCCAUUGCCAUUAAAAGUGUUUUUAUUUUUGG